CCUACGGGAGGCAGCAGUGGGGAAUAUUGGGCAAUGGGCGCAAGCCUGACCCAGCAACGCCGCGUGAAGGAAGAAGGCUUUCGGGUUGUAAACUUCUUUUAUCAGGGACGAAGCAAGUGACGCUACCUGAUGAAUAAGCCACGGCUAACUACGUGCCAGCAUCCGGGGUAAUACGUAGGUGGCACGCGUUAUCCGGAUUUACUGGGUGUAAAGGUCGUGUAGGCGGGAGUGCAAGUCAGAGGUGAAAACUAUGGGCGAAACCCAUAGCGUGCAUUUGAGACUGUACUUCUUGAGUGCUGGAGAGGGAAUAGGAAGUCCGUGGGUAGCGGGGAAAUGCGUAGAUAUGCGGAGGAACACCAGUGGCGAAGGCGGAUUGCUGGACAGUAACUGACGCUGAGGCGCGAAAGCGUGGGGAGCAAACAGGAUUAGAUACCCGGGUAGUC
rnacentral:rRNA from 1 species